GAAAAACCGCCAACUUGGCCAGCAGACUACGCACGUAGAAGACUGUGGGCUCGGUCAUCGGACCGGGGUUCGAUUCCCCGCGACUCCACCA
rnacentral:tmRNA from 1 species